AAGCGGAGGAAAAGAAACCAACUGGGAUUACCUUAGUAACGGCGAGUGAAGCGGUAAAAGCUCAAAUUUGAAAUCUGGUACUUUCAGUGCCCGAGUUGUAAUUUGUAGAAUUUGUCUUUGAUUAGGUCCUUGUCUAUGUUCCUUGGAACAGGACGUCAUAGAGGGUGAGAAUCCCGUUUGGCGAGGAUACCUUUUCUCUGUAAGACUUUUUCGAAGAGUCGAGUUGUUUGGGAAUGCAGCUCAAAGUGGGUGGUAAAUUCCAUCUAAAGCUAAAUAUUGGCGAGAGACCGAUAGCGAACAAGUACAGUGAUGGAAAGAUGAAAAGAACUUUGAAAAGAGAGUGAAAAAGUACGUGAAAUUGUUGAAAGGGAAGGGCAUUUGAUCAGACAUGGUGUUUUUUGCAUGCACUCGCCUCUCGUGGGCUUGGGCCUCUCAAAAAUUUCACUGGGCCAACAUCAAUUCUGGCAGCAGGAUAAAUCAUUAAGAAUGUAGCUACUUCGGUAGUGUUAUAGCUUUUUGGAAUACUGUUAGCCGGGAUUGAGGACUGCGCUUCGGCAAGGAUGU
rnacentral:rRNA from 1 species